rnacentral:misc_RNA from 1 species
GAUGAAGAACGUAGCGAAAUGCGAUAAGUAAUGUGAAUUGCAGAAUUCAGUGAAUCAUCGAAUCUUUGAACGCACAUUGCGCCCGCCAGUAUUCUGGCGGGCAUGCCUGUUCGAGCGUCAUUUCAACCAUCAAGCCCCCGGCUUGUGUUGGGGACCUGCGGCUGCCGCAGGCCCUGAAAACCAGUGGCGGGCUCGCUAGUCACUCCGAGCGUAGUAAUUUUCUCUCGCUGUGGAGCGCCUGGUGGGUUACCAGCCGUAAAACACCCCAAAUUCUAAAGGUUGACCUCGGAUCAGGUAGGAAUACCCGCUGAACUUAAGCAUAUCAAUAAGCGGAGGA